rnacentral:lncRNA from 1 species
GCCACCCUUCGUCCACCCCCACCCCUUUAAACACCCCUCGUCUAUCUCCACACCUGCAAAACACCCCCUACAUUGCAGGCUCUAGCAACCUAUUCUACUCAUCAUUGAUAUCAACUCCCAAUCAUAAGACAAUAAAUUAAUUAGCUGUGAUUAUGAAAAAUGUUGUUGCUAAUUGUGUAACAUUUACAGUUUUUAUUUGAGUUUUAAAUUGUUUCUUCAUUCUAUUUUCAAAUUUAGUAAGUUCAACUCAUGAUUGAGC